rfam:Hymenolepis nana genome assembly, scaffold: HNAJ_scaffold0000456
GGUGUGCGAUAGGCUUACCUCCACGUGGUGCACCCUGGGCAACGUAUUCUCAUACGGCAAAAAAGUCCAU